GACGUAGGGUGCAAGCGUUAAUCGGAAUUACUGGGCGUAAAGCGUGCGCAGGCGGUGAUGUAAGACAGGUGUGAAAUCCCCGGGCUUAACCUGGGAACUGCAUUUGUGACUGCAUCGCUGGAGUGCGGCAGAGGGGGAUGGAAUUCCGCGUGUAGCAGUGAAAUGCGUAGAUAUGCGGAGGAACACCGAUGGCGAAGGCAACUCCCCUGG
rnacentral:rRNA from 1 species